AGCCUGUGCAAUGAGGAUGGACCCUCCUCACUCGGACCCAUGCUGGCCAUGCUGAAUGGCCCCGCAAAUUCUCGCGAGCUGCGAGGGAAGCAUUGUUGAUCCUCUUGAGAACAUCAGACAGGAUAUUCAUCCGCACCUUGACGACGGCACCAAAGGAUGGUGGAAAGAGAGAUUUUUAAAAAAUCAAAUCUUCUGUUACUUUGUAUUCAGAAGAAAACUAUGCAAAGAUUAACAUAAAAUUAAAAGUAUGGAAAUCCAGAUUUUAGUAAAACCUAUUAAAAU